AUUGAACGCUGGCGGCAUGCUUUACACAUGCAAGUCGAACGGUAACAGGUUAAGCUGACGAGUGGCGAACGGGUGAGUAAUGCAUCGGAACGUGCCCGGUCGUGGGGGAUAACGCAGCGAAAGCUGCGCUAAUACCGCAUACGAUCUAAGGAUGAAAGCGGGGGACCGUAAGGCCUCGCGCGAUCGGAGCGGCCGAUGUCAGAUUAGGUAGUUGGUGGGGUAAAGGCUCACCAAGCCAACGAGCUGUAGCUGGUCUGAGAGGACGACCAGCCACACUGGGACUGAGACACGGCCCAGACUCCUACGGGAGGCAGCAGUGGGGAAUUUUGGACAAUGGGCGAAAGCCUGAUCCAGCAAUGCCGCGUGCAGGAAGAAGGCCUUCGGGUUGUAAACUGCUUUUGUACGGAGCGAAAAGGUCUCCUCUAAUACAGGGGGCUCAUGACGGUACCGUAAGAAUAAGCACUGGCUAACUACGUGCCAGCAGCCGCCGUAA
rnacentral:rRNA from 1 species